rnacentral:rRNA from 1 species
AUUCCAGCUCCAAUAGCGUAUAUUAAAGUUGUUGCAGUUAAAAAGCUCGUAGUUGGAUUUCUGGUGGGGACGUUUGGCCGGCCGUAACGGUUUGCGCUGAAAUGUUCUUCGCCAUCCUUGACGAAUACUGGUUCGCCAUUAAGUUGUGUGGGCUUGGAGUCGUCAUCGUUUACUGUGAAAAAAUUAGAGUGUUCAAAGCAGGCUUAUGCCGUUGAAUACAUUAGCAUGGAAUAAUAAGAUAGGACCUGAGUUCUAUUUUGUUGGUUUCUAGAGCUGAGGUAAUGAUUAAUAGGGGUAGUUGGGGGCAUUCGUAUUUAACAGUCAGAGGUGAAAUUCUUGGAUUUGUUAAAGACGGACUACUGCGAAAGCAUUUGCCAAGGAUGUUUUCAUUA